rnacentral:lncRNA from 10 species
UGCUGUGAGCAUGUGAGCCUAAGUGGGUGAGCCCACUCAUUCAUUGAUUUAUUAUUUGGAGCCAAUAUGUGUGGAUAUUGAAUGUAUUUGUUGGCUGCCACUUGAGCAUUUAUUCCUUCCAUUUAAGCCAGGCAACAUAACCAUUCCCUCUAGCAGCAGAGAUGGUCACAAGCCCAGUCAGAAACAAUGAACCCACAAAGACUGGGGCUGAGGCUUCCAGUAAACUGUAGCUUCCUUGCUCCUCUAGCAUGGUGUAAGUAUAUGAUGCCUGGAAAUGUGGCAACCGUUUUCCUCCUAUAAGGGGAAACCCUAGAGGGAUGGGAGUUUAGAGGGACAGCAACAAGUAGAGCCUGGGGUUGAAGUCAGUACUGUCAAAUGAAUGCGGGAAAGAUGGAGAAGAACCUUGUGUUUGGUGGCAUGAUUUGAGCUGCAGUAUCAAACCUCACCUGUUUGAUUCUAUGGACUAUCCUAUAGACUAUUCGGGAUUGUGAGCAAGGCCAUCUUACAGACUAUCCAGAAUUGUGAACCACAAAUUUCCUGUACUGUUUAAGCCAGUUCAUAUUAAAAUUCUAAAAGUCCUAACUAA